AAUGAACAGCAGCUGUGUCUCCUGCAGGAGGAACUUUUUUAAGCUCCUCUUGUUGAUUGAGUUCUCAUUCAGUGUCUGACAAGAUGGGAGCUGAGUCAGUUUUGGUCCUUGUCAUUCUGGCUGUUUGCUUUGGCAAUGCUUCAGGUUUGCCGGUUGAGAGAAAAAGCCAGAAUGCUGAUGAUGAAAUAUAGAGGACAGAGAACGGAAUCUCUUCUUUAAGGAACAGCUUUGGUCUUCUACAGUCAGUGGAUUCCAGUAUAAAUAAAGUCGAUGAAGUACAAAUGGAAACCAAUAAGGUGGAAGCUGAGGAAUCAUUUAAGAGACGUGAAGUUCGGACUAGCGUGGUGUCCGACGCCGCCAGCAACCAGACUGUGUCCGACGCCGCCAGCAACCAGACUGUGUCCGACGCCGCCAGCAACCAGACUGUGUCCGACGCCGCCAGCAACCAGACUGUGUCCGACGCCGCCAGC